UCCAAAGCAAAACAAAAAAGGACAGUCUAAUGCAAGAGAAAGCAGAAAGAAAGAUAAGUAUUUGUUAUUGCAUGCAUACUGGAAACAGAGGAGAAUAAAUACGAAAAGAGACAGUAGCACUUACAUGUGAAUGGAGCUAAGUAACUCCGUUGCUCGAUCUCCAGCAGUUAACCUUCAGCCCAACUGUUGAAUUUCAGACUUGGUAACAGAUGGAAUUGAGAAAAACAAAAUCAAGAAAGAAGUAUGUGAGCCACAAAACACCAGACUGUGUGGUGAGAACCACAUCUAGAAUCUCACACCAUCAGCGAAGAUUCUAGCUGCCCAAUAAUAAAGAGGAUUUACGGUAUUACACAAGGUCAAUGAAAUUUCCUGUGUGUAAGAAAUAAGAAUGCAGUAUACUGAUUUCAUACAAUAUGAGUAAUCAACUUACAGAUAUGGACUUCUAAGAUCAGGGUCUUCAGUGAGAUCCAUCAUUUGGCAAUUCAUCUCUACAGCAGGACUGGAAGUACACUCUUACUGAACUGAUAGUUAAAUAUCAAGCAUUCUUACAAUUGAGGAUAAUCCAAUAACAGAGAGAUAAUUCAAAAACUUGAGCAAAAUAGCUUCAGAUAAUUUAAAAAAUUCAAGCAAAAGCCCUAAUCUAAAUCAUAUUGUUACCAACAAAGUUCAAAAAUUAGGGAUUUGGAAUGAGAUUUGCGUAAGGGAUGUAUAAUUAGGGAUUCUACCUUGGUGGUGGCUAUUGUAGAAGGCGGCGGCGACAGCGGCGACUCCUAGGGUCUGC
rnacentral:lncRNA from 1 species